UUGUCUUAAGAAGUAAAGUGACAAGUUCCGUAGUGACCUGGGAAGAUCAUA
rnacentral:rRNA from 1 species